GCUGGAUGAUGAAAAACUUUUCCACAUUCGCAGUUUUCACCCUAGCCGUCGCUACGAACCUAAUAGACGGACGAUGAGGGCCCAAUCUUCCUUGGAUGUCUGACACA
rnacentral:snoRNA from 1 species